rfam:Felis catus isolate Cinnamon breed Abyssinian chromosome C2, whole genome shotgun sequence.
GCCUGAGUGGCUCAAUCAGUUAGGCAUCUGACUUCGGCUCAGGUCAUGAUCUCCAGCUUGUGGGUUUGAGCCCCACUUCGGGCU